rnacentral:rRNA from 1 species
UGGGGAAUAUUGGACAAUGGGCGGAAGCCUGAUCCAGCCAUGCCGCGUGUGUGAAGAAGGCCUUUUGGUUGUAAAGCACUUUAAGCGAGGAGGAGGCUACUAGUACUAAUACUACUGGAUAGUGGACGUUACUCGCAGAAUAAGCACCGGCUAACUCUGUGCCAGCAGCCGCGGUAAUACAGAGGGUGCGAGCGUUAAUCGGAUUUACUGGGCGUAAAGCGUGCGUAGGCGGCUGAUUAAGUCGGAUGUGAAAUCCCUGAGCUUAACUUAGGAAUUGCAUUCGAUACUGGACAGCUAGAGUAUGGGAGAUGAUGGUAGAAUUCCAGGUGUAGCGGUGAAAUGCGUAGAGAUCUGGAGGAAUACCGAUGGCGAAGGCAGCCAUCUGGCCUAAUACUGACGCUGAGGUACGAAAGCAUGGGGAGCAAACAGG